rnacentral:sRNA from 1 species
GAUUGACUCAACAUUUUCUUUAUAGACAGUACUAUGGGUGACUGACUCAACGUUUUCUUAUAGACAGUACUAGAGGUGAUUGACUCAACAUUUUCUUUAUAGACAGUACUAGGGGUGACUGACUCAACAUUUUCUUUAUAGACAGUACUAGGGGUGAUUGACUCAACAUUUUCUUUAUAGACAGUACUAGGGGUGAUUGACUCAACAUUUUCUUUAUAGACAGUACUAGGGGUGACUGACUCAACAUUUUCUUCAGAGACAUUACUAGCUAGAGGUGACUGUCAACAUUUCAGUCAUAAGCAGCUCUCUAACCAAGUUUACAACAUUAAAAAUAUUUUUGUAAAGGAUGAAGUGUCUGGGAAUAUUUUGUUUUGAAGAUUAACUGUCUGUUGAAAACAUUAUUUGUUACAACCAAAUAACUUGAUUCAAGUCUAGUAACACUCUAUUGACUCACUGUAAAGUGACAGACACAAAGUAAUAUUACAUGGAGAAAUAAAUGGUCUCACAAAAUCAAAAACUUUAUUUCUGAAUGUCAUUAAAGUACCUUUUGUUUCAUUAAAAAAUAAAUAUAUUCAACCCUAAAAGUAUCAACUAAACUUCCUUUUUAGUAAAAUUGAGGAAAAAAAACAAGUUUCUGUGCUUUUACCAGGGAAGUGCUUGUUGAAUUCAUAAGUGUGCAAUACAAUUCCAACACAAUAGUAAAAAUAAAUCACCAUCACUAAAAAGGAAACAAUUAUUUGCUAGAAAACUAUGAAAUACUUGUUAAUGUAGCUAGAUAGAGUCAACAUACUGACCUCUAUAUGCUCAAUGUUUAGUUUUUAUGCCCUAUUCAUCCUAAUCGUCAGUAAUUGCAAUUAGGUUUGAAAUGAUGCAAUUUGUCAAAAAAAUUUUAAACUCCAACAUUAAUUAUUAAAAGUUAUGUUCAUUAGUCAAUAUUUGUCACUGAACUAUUCUCAGUGUAAUUCCAAAGUCUUUACACAGCAGAACACAAUUUAUUAAACCGUAUAAAUGUUUACACAUUAUGACCUCUAAAAAAAAUCACACAAUGUAAAACUUGUCAUAUAAACAUCCCUUGCUAUUUUUUAAAUAAAUGUAACAGAAACAAAUGAAUUGCUUCAUCAAUGCUAUUACACCAGAAAGACAAAAUUCAAUGUUCACUUACAAUUUUUUUCUUAUAAGCUUUUUGGUAACUUACACAAACAAAACAACAGCUCACAACUUAAGUACUCUGUCCUUCACUUAGACUUAUGUAUGUCGAACACAUCAUCUAUGACUUAGACUUAUGACUAUGUCUAACACAUCAUCUAAAACUUAGACUUAUAAAUUAGCAUAUAACUUUAAAGUCAAAGAUAUGCUUCUAAAAAUGCUUCUAAACAUGUUAAUGCUCUAAGCUCCAAAAAAGAGCAAGGCCACACCAAACAGUGCAAAUCUGCCUAACACAAGCC